rnacentral:rRNA from 1 species
UACAGAGGUGGCAAGCGUUGUUCGGAAUUACUGGGCGUAAAGGGCGCGUAGGCGGUUCGUUAAGUCCUGUGUGAAAUCCCCCGGCUCAACUGGGGAACUGCACAGGAAACUAGCGGGCUUGAGUGCGGAAGGGGCUACUGGAAUUCUCGGUGUAGCGGUGAAAUGCGUAGAUAUCGAGAGGAACACCUGCGGCGAAGGCGGGUAGCUGGGCCGACACUGACGCUGAGGCGCGAAAGCCAGGGGAGCGAACGGG